rnacentral:rRNA from 1 species
AUACGGAGGGUGCAAGCGUUACUCGGAAUCACUGGGCGUAAAGCGCGCGCAGGCGGUCUUUUAAGUUGUAUGUGAAAGCCUACGGCUCAACCGUAGAACUGCAUCCAAAACUAUUAGACUAGAGUGUGCGAGAGGAAGAUGGAAUUAGUUGUGUAGGGGUAAAAUCCGUAGAGAUAACUAGGAAUACCAAAAGCGAAGGCAAUCUUCUGGAACACUACUGACGCUGAGGCGCGAAAGCGUGGGGAGCAAACAGGAUUAGAAACCCCUGUAGUCC